UACGUAGGGGGCAAGCGUUGUCCGGAAUCAUUGGGCGUAAAGAGCGUGUAGGCGGCUCGGUAAGUCCGCUGUGAAAGUCCAGGGCUCAACCCUGGAAUGCCGGUGGAAACUGUCGAGCUAGAGUACUAAAGAGGAUCGCGGAAUUCCCGGUGUAGAGGUGAAAUUCGUAGAUAUCGGGAGGAACACCAGUGGCGAAAGCGGCUUCCUGG
rnacentral:rRNA from 1 species